GACAUCAGGAGGUUAGUGCAAUGGCAUAAGCCAGCUUGACUGCGAGCGUGACGGCGCGAGCAGGUGCGAAAGCAGGUCAUAGUGAUCCGGUGGUUCUGAAUGGAAGGGCCAUCGCUCAACGGAUAAAAGGUACUCCGGGGAUAACAGGCUGAUACCGCCCAAGAGUUCAUAUCGACGGCGGUGUUUGGCACCUCGAUGUCGGCUCAUCACAUCCUGGGGCUGAAGUAGGUCCCAAGGGUAUGGCUGUUCGCCAUUUAAAGUGGUACGCGAGCUGGGUUUAGAACGUCGUGAGACAGUUCGGUCCCUAUCUGCCGUGGGCGCUGGAGAACUGAGGGGGGCUGCUCCUAGUACGAGAGGACCGGAGUGGACGCAUCACUGGUGUUCGGGUUGUCAUGCCAAUGGCACUGCCCGGUAGCUAAAUGCGGAAGAGAUAAGUGCUGAAAGCAUCUAAGCACGAAACUUGCCCCGAGAUGAGUUCUCCCUGAGACUUAAAGUCUCCUGAAGGAACGUUGAAGACGACGACGUUGAUAGGCCGGGUGUGUAAGCGCAGCGAUGCGUUGAGCUAACCGGUACUAAUGAACCGU
rnacentral:rRNA from 1 species